UACGUAGGUGGCAAGCGUUAUCCGGAAUUAUUGGGCGUAAAGCGCGCGCAGGUGGUUCUUUAAGUCUGAUGUGAAAGCCCCCGGCUCAACCGGGGAGGGUCAUUGGAAACUGGGGAACUUGAGUAUAGAAGAGGAAAGUGGAAUUCCACGUGUAGCGGUGAAAUGCGUAGAGAUGCGGAGGAACACCAGUGGCGAAGGCGACUUUCUGGUCUAUAACUGACACUGAGGCGCGAAAGCGUGGGGAGCAAACAGG
rnacentral:rRNA from 1 species